CACACGACUCUCGGCAACGGAUAUCUUGGCUCUCGCAUCGAUGAAGAACGUAGCAAAAUGCGAUACCUGGUGUGAAUUGCAGAAUCCCGUGAACCAUCGAGUUUUUGAACGCAAGUUGCGCCCGAGGCCUUCUAGCCGAGGGCACGUCUGCCUGGGCGUCACGC
rnacentral:rRNA from 1 species